GACGAACGCUGGCGGCGUGCUUAACACAUGCAAGUCGAGCGGUAAGGCCCUUUCGGGGGUACACGAGCGGCGAACGGGUGAGUAACACGUGGGUGACCUGCCCUCAGCUCUGGGAUAAGCCUGGGAAACCGGGUCUAAUACCGGAUAUGACUCCAUGACGCAUGUUGUGGGGUGGAAAGCCUUGUGCGGCUGAGGAUGGGCCCGCGGCCUAUCAACUUGUUGGUGGGGUGAUGGCCACCAAGGCGACGACGGGUAGCCGGCCUGAGAGGGCGACCGGCCACACUGGGACUGAGACACGGCCCAGACUCCUACGGGAGGGCAGCAGUGGGGAAGUCUUGCGCAAUGGGCGAAAGCCUGACGCAGCGACGCCGCGUGAGGGAUGACGGCCU
rnacentral:rRNA from 1 species